rnacentral:rRNA from 1 species
AUUGAACGCUGGCGGCAGGCCUAACACAUGCAAGUCGAGCGGGGUUUUCGGACCUAGCGGCGGACGGGUGAGUAAUGCGUAGGAAGCUACCCGAUAGAGGGGGAUACCAGUUGGAAACGACUGUUAAUACCGCAUAACGUCUACGGACCAAAGUGUGGGACCUUCGGGCCACAUGCUAUCGGAUGCGCCUACGUGGGAUUAGCUAGUUGGUGAGGUAAUGGCUCACCAAGGCGACGAUCCCUAGCUGGUUUGAGAGGAUGAUCAGCCACACUGGGACUGAGACGCGGUCCAGACUCCGACGGGAGGGAGCAGUGGGGAAUAUUGGACAAGGGGCGCAAGGCUGAUCCAGCCAUGCCGCGUGUGUGAAGAAGGCCUUCGGGUUGUAAAGCACUUUCAGUAGGGAGGAAGCGUUGUGUGUUAAUAGUACACAGCGUUGACGUUACCUACAGAAGAAGCACCGGCUAACUCUGUGCCAGCCGCCGCCGUAAAAC